rnacentral:rRNA from 1 species
UACGAAGGGGGCUAGCGUUAUUCGGAAUCACUGGGCUUAAAGAGUCCGUAGGCGGCUUGUUAGGUGAGGUGUGAAAUCCCUCGGCCCAACCGAGGAAUUGCGCUUCAAACCGGCAAGCUAGAGGAGGAUAGAGGUGGGCGGAACUGAUGGUGGAGCGGUGAAAUGCGUUGAUAUCAUCAGGAACACCGGAGGCGAAGGCGGUCCACUGGGUCCUAUCUGACGCUGAGGGACGAAAGCUAGGGGAGCGAACGGG